rnacentral:lncRNA from 1 species
GAGCCCUAAUUCAGCCUGGUACUGUGUUAAAUGCUGCUUGGGGGAUGUUGAGGCCAGCACACCUCUGGCUCAGGGGACCCAGAGCUUCACCACAGCUUCUGCAUGGGUUUUUCUGGGUGGCUCCUAGCUGCCCAGGAUAGGUGGGAUCAACUCCAGGCCCCCCACCCUAGCAUCCGAAGGAGCAGAGGAGGGUGGCCUCUGGGGUACCCCAG